AUCGUGUCUACUCUCCAAGAGAGAGUCUCUCUAGCCUGGAAAUCCACUAGGUGGAGCAAAGGAUCAAGAAUUACCUGCCCAAGAGCUCUCACAAGCAAAUAUCAACCAGUACUGCAACUAUACCUUUUCCUCUAUAAAACCUAGACAAAGGCUGGGGGAAAAUUGAGUUUCUGAAGCUGCUUGAGAUCAAAUGUUCCCUGUUCAUUAAAAUGGACAGUGGCUCAAGGAAUAAAGAAACUCAGAUUUGCUGAGCUGGACAUGAUUACUAAAUACACAGGAGGCACACCCAUCUUGGACUAUUUCCCCAUGGCUUGGCUCUCAUUACGUAUUUCCUUUCUGCUUUCAUUGGUGGCAGAUGGAAUUUGGGAUAGACUUCUUAUCCAAGCUCCUGUAUUCGAAAUAUCCUGUGCUUAGAUCAUACAUCUUUUUCCCGCCUACUCUAGGCAUCCCAAAGUUCUAGUAUCAACCUGGUUUCUAUUUAAAUAUAUUCUCUUUGAUUCCUGGCCCUUGGAUUCUAACAUUUCCUUCCUUGGAUUCCAAUCUUGUCUUUUUUUCUGCACUUAUGUGUCGGUUAGCUGAGCAGAAGCCAGGUUCUUAUUUGAGGAUUUUUAAGGUGUAAAAGGAGACUGUCCUUGUUUCCCUAUCAGUUCUUUGUCCCUUGUGCAAAGUGUACUCUGUCUGCCUUUGCAUUCAAACUGCAGUUGUUAACUGUCCUAUAUCUCAGUCAAAAUCUGCUACCAAUAGAAGGCAUGGUUCAUUACAAUCAUCAUUCCAUAACAUGCAAGUCCAAACACUUGCAGAGGGAAACUUGAGGUAGGAGGUAAAUUCCAAAUCCAAAGUUAUUGUUUUUCAUGGCUAUGACUCUGUGGCAGGAUAAUCUAUUGAAAUAUUAAUUUCUUUGUCUACUUUCUGUACUUUCUCUACCCCUUUGAUCUAAGUGAGUUAGGUAGGCCCUUAGUAAUUUCUUACCUUAGAGAUAUUUUGCAGAAUGAUCUAGCUGUCUGUAGAUAAAACCUGAACUCAAUGAAGAUAGUAUUAUCAAUGUCUUUGAAGGCAGCAGGAAAAGGAAAGGAGAAAAUUUCCCAAGAAUAUAAGGAAGUUUUCAGUCUAUGGGUGAGGGUGAGUAGGACUACACAUGGCCGCAGGAGAGUACUGGACUGCAAUGGACAUGUCAGUGGUAACCAGUAUGUAUUGACAACUGGCAGGAUCUCUGCCAAGCUUUGGUGCCAUGUAAGAUUCCAGGACCUUGAAAAACCCUUGCAGUGGAGAGUCCAAAUAAUGACUGAGAUUACAAUUUCUGCCAAUCAAGCUGGAUGGGGACUCAGAGUCAGAGUUAAGUAGGUGAAAAGCAAAUGAAGAAGUGAGAUAUUUCUUGUACAUCUGAGUUUAUCUGAGUUUCCUAUUGACUGCACUCAAUUAAGAGUUCAUCAUGGAGGUCUGUGACCUCAGAGCAGUAUAGAAUGGUGGGUAAAGUAUGGUCUCUGGAAACAGGCUGCCUGGGUUCAAAUCUGAGCUCUGCUACUGAUUAGGUAUGAAUCCUUGUACAAGUUAUUCAGCUUCUCUCUACCACAGGUUUCCCCCUGUGAAGUGGGGAUGAUAAUAGCACGUAUCUUACAAGGUUGUGGUUGAAAAAUCAGUACCUGACAUAUAGCAAAAUUGAAUGUAAACUGUUAUUUCUAUAGGGUUUUUUGCAUCACUAUAACGGUUGUUGAAAUUUAAAUUAAUUUUUAAAAUACACAAUACACACAAAUGGUACAAAAGGUUUUGAAAGAGAUACAAUGAAAGAUAAAGGUGUACAACAAAAAAUUGUUCCCUAAUUUUCCUCCCCAGAUGCAACCUGUGUCACUAAUUGUAUAUUAAACAAAUGAAACUCCUUACAUAUGUUUCUGUACCUUCCCCCUCUUAAAAAUACAUUGUGAAAAUUGUUCUUUGAUAGUAUUCCAUUAUAUCGAUAUAUUCUAGAUUAUUAACUUAUUGAACUAGUCUUCCUCAUGGACUGGUUUUUUACUCUUACAAAUAAUACUGCAA
rnacentral:lncRNA from 10 species